rnacentral:rRNA from 1 species
CGAAAGGACCAUGAUUAAGUAAUAAUUAUUUAUUAUUGAUUAAUAUUAA